rnacentral:rRNA from 1 species
GGAUUAGAUACCCUGGUAGUCCACGCCGUAAACGAUGUCUACUUGGAGGUUGUUCCCUUGAGGAGUGGCUUUCGGAGCUAACGCGUUAAGUAGACCGCCUGGGGAGUACGGUCGCAAGAUUAAAACUCAAAUGAAUUGACGGGGGCCCGCACAAGCGGUGGAGCAUGUGGUUUAAUUCGAUGCAACGCGAAGAACCUUACCCACUCUUGACAUCCUCAGAAUCUUGUAGAGAUACGAGAGUGCCUUCGGGAACUGAGAGACAGGUGCUGCAUGGCUGUCGUCAGCUCGUGCU